AAGGACACGUUACACCUUGCAAACAUCCUCUAUGCUGAAUCCAGGUCUUCUUAAAGUUCACUGCAUCAUUUUUUUCCCACAUGGGCUGUAGAGUUCUCAUUGGAUACUGUUAUUGAGAAAUGAGCACAACGCAAUUGAUCUUUGUCAAAAUCUAAAAAACUGUCCGUUGUGUAUACUGAGUAGACCUGUGUUCUUCAUCCUCUCGCUGUGUAUUUGGUAUAGAGCCUUCUCAAAAUGUAUUAAAAAGCCGAGUUAUAAUCCACAAAUAGUUACCCGAGCGCAGCUCACAGGCGCUUGGAGAUGCUGCAAGAUGGAGUGCAGACAGAGAUUAACCAACCUGUUUGCCCUGUGUGCAAACCGAUUUAGAUCAAGCACAGCACUGGACAGAUGUUAACCCAGAUGUUUUAUUAUUUUCCAGAAAUGAAACCUCUGUGCUGGAUGUGGAUCAGUCAAGUGAGUCUCCAGCUGAUUUGGUGUAAACACCAUCUGCAGAAGAAGGAACACCUCUGUUAUUGCAGGUGUUAAUGUUGCACCGGUUAUGUUCAGUCUCUUACUAGUAGGCAUAGAGCUCAUGGAGAGUGCAUUAACAUGGAAGCUAUUUUUAAAAAAUCCAAAUCCAAGUUUAUCAAGGAGAAGGACGUCUUCGAGACGCAUUCUUAACUAUGCUUGAACAGCACAAAAAGCUUAUUAAACAUUUGGUAAUUUCCCCAUAAGUGCCACAAUGCUGGAUGAUAAUGUCCCACUGUGUUUCAGCUUCCUACCAACAUGCUUAUAUUUUGACUUAUUAAUAAAGGAAAACACAAAUGAAGCAAUGCACUUCAACCACUAUAAAGCUGUCAAGUCAAGUGGGAUUCAUCCAAGCAAAGUGUUUUAACUCCAUCCAGCCAGUUUUGUAAUGAUUUAUUAAUUUAUUGCAUUUAUUAAUGUACAUGAUCCAGGGAAAGACAAUGAACUGUGUCCGGUCCUGCAAGACUGCAAGUAAUUCAGUUCUCUGUUAAGGACAGCAGACUUCCCCAAGAUUACAAAGUUUUAUGUCAGGUCUCUGGUCUCAUGGAGGAAGGUGAGCAGUCGGACACAUUCGGACACAUUUGGGAUCUGUUAUUGUGUGUGCAUAAAGGUUUAAUCAAAAGACUGUUUAGAUGCUUUUUCAAGUCAACCCUGGAAAUGCUUAUUGACAAAUCUUUAUUUUUCUCUACUUUUCAUUGACAGUGACUGUUAAAUGUACUAUACACAAACGUUAGUUUGGUUUAGCUGAAUGCUAUAGUAACAUGUAACAUCAUCAGGACACAUGUAGUGUCCAGUAAUAGAGGCCUACGUUUAUGUAAAACAGAUUUUGAUGUUGAGUGGGUUAUUUGUACGUAAUGGCUCAAACAAUUAGAGUACAACAAUUUCACUGGUAAUCACCCCUUCUGUUUGUGUCAAGAAGCCAUGUGCAAGUGGGUGUACUGCAAAUUGUAGACAUUUGUACAUUUGUAAUGUUGCUUUUAAAAUUUCUCAAAAUCUGUUGUGAACAAUUAACUAGUGUUCAUAGAUUUCCAAUGUUGGACACAGCCUGAGUGUUUUUCAGUUUAUUUUGUUUGAAUGUGUGCGAAUGACACCGGCUAAAAUGUUCUAUUCGUAGAUUAAUUAUAUAGAUCUCAACGAUUACCUUGUAUGUCCCUGCUCACAGAUGGAGGGUCUCUCUCUAACGCGUAUGUAACUUAGCAGCUAUUCGAGGCACAAGCUUAGCCAAUAAGCUGCUGCUGAUCCUGGCUUCCAGAGGAACAUGUAUACCUCUCACUUUUCACUGCCUGGCAGUGCCAAUUAGGCUGACAUGACAAGUUAGCCACUUCUCACCUUGAUACAAUUUGAAGUGUGCCACUUGUUGUCUAAUGCAAAAUCAGGGUUUGCAUCUAAAACUCUCUUGGCCACGUUGUGCAAAGGUCUACAUCUUUGUAUGGUACAGCCAUCUCCUAUCUAGUCCACCUGUACCCACCUCAUUUGUUAACGUAAAACAACUAUUAUAGCCCUGGUGCACGUCUGUACGCCAAGAAACUUAUUUCUAUU
ensembl:lncRNA